rnacentral:lncRNA from 1 species
CUGGAGACACCAUCCUCUUCACUCAAAAUAUCGGCACACACAUACGCCCAAUCGCUCGCACACACACACGCAAUCCUCUCCCUUCAUAGCUCACUCAAAAUCGCACACUAAUCCGCACAUACCCAAAAAAAAUAAAGCCGAUUGAGAGAGAGGGUGACGAAUAGAGAGAGAUAUAGUUAUUUUGGUUUCGGGUUUGUUGCUGGAUUUCGACAUUUUCCGUUAGCUUAUUCCCUUCACAGCUCACCGGAGCUUAGAUUCGGACUGGUUUUGAGCUCUCAGUUAGACUUCGGAGACGUUAGUUAUCAUUUGCUCGUCAUUCGUCUUCCGAUAUCGUGCCUUUGAAGGUUUUUGAUACCGGGCUGGUCUAUUUUUCUGUUGCUAUUUUGCUAUGGUUUCAUCGGUCUUCGCUACUGAUUUGAAGAUUAGAAUCUCGUUCGUCUCAAAUCGUUAAUCGUGAUCAGUUUUUUGGUCUUCAAUCUUUGAUACCGAAUCUGGGAUUAUCGCAUUUUGGAUUAUUUCUCGACUGAUUUGGAGAGUCGAGAUUUCGUUGGUAUUCUUCGAGGUUCUUGGACGGCUCUUAUUUCUCUUAUUAAAUCAAUCGACAUCGCCUGAGGUCCAAUUCUAACUUUUCUCUUUUUGAUUUUCUCGUGAUUACAAAUGAUUUGUAUGCUUAAAUGUUUGAGUCCUUGUUUGGGUAUGUGUUCAAUAUUGAUUUCGGAUUUGAAGAAGUAACUUGAUUGUCAAAUUAGUUGUUUGGGGUCUAGAUUGAAAAUUAAUAAUCGAAUAAGUCGAAGGUUGUUUAUUUUGAUUCAUUAUUGAAUAUUGUUGAAUUGGAUAGCAUCAUGAUUAGGCCAUCUAAUGAAUAGGUUAAAGUAGGUUCGGGUAGGCAAAUAUUUAGGAAUAAGUGUUUGCUCGUUGAAUUAUUGAAUGCUUGAAAUGCGUGUUGAAUGGUUUGGUUUUAUUGCUUUUGGAUUGAAUGUAUCAUUUAGCCGGGGAAUGCCCCGAGACACAUUGUAUUUAUUCACUGGGGAAUGCCUCGACGUACUAUGUUGGCGGAAGACGUUCGUGAUGAAGGCCCGAGGCAUCGGGUAGCUUGGGAGCGUAGUUAGGAUUAGUAUAGGUUAGAUAAGAUUUAUUUUUCGCAUUUUAUUUAUUUUGGGUAUGUAUAAUCGGACUGAACACUAUACUUUGAUUCAUUUUGUUUGGUUUGUUUGUUUGCUUUACGUGCUUCCUUGUGAUUUGUACAUUCGUAGUGUCAAAAUUAGCCGAUACGAUCCACCAAGCGUCCGUGGUCGAACCACGGGAUCGAGGGGUGUCUAACACCUUCCCCUUGGUCAACAAAAAUUCCUUAGUCAGAAUCUCUGUUCGCGGAUCAGUUCUAUAGAGUCCAAAUCAUUUUGAAAAGGGAUAUCCAUGGGUAACUUGGCACACCCGAUUUAUGCCAAGUGGCGAAUCUGAGUUUUGAAUAUAAAAGAUCCUUUUCAAAAAAAAAAUUUCAUCUUUUGUCACUUUGAUAAUAAAACCCUUUUGAACCUAAAAUGAAUCUUUUCCGGAGUUGAAAAAAAAGGGGUGUGACAGCUCUGGCGACUCUGCUGGGGAAUCAUUUUUCAAAAUUCGAGCUUAUUUUUUGGAGUUGUAUUGGCUUAGUUUGGCAUUAGGGGUGUAUAGACAUUGUUUGUGUUAUCGUUUGUGUUUAUUUUAUCAUUGUUGAGUGCCUACGUGCUCUUUGUUACAGUUUUUCCUUAUGUGUUACUGCUUUUAUAUCUGGCAUCAUUUGCAUAAUCCGAAUCAAUUCUUUCUGCAAUAAGUCUUGGAGUGCCGUCGUGUACACGAACUCUAGUUGACUCACCUUUAUUUUAGGAGGGGGAGCCGUCGGACGUAUGGAGUGGGUAGAAAGUUGUCGCAGCCACUAUCGACCAUACGCUUUCCGAACAGCCUUGUUAGUAAAUCCAGCGUAGGUCAUCCUUUAGGUCAUGCUUAUGUGCAUUAUAUUGAGACCUAGCGAGGCCCACUUGGUCCUUUGUAGGAGACUCACCUCUAAAGCAUCCCUACAUGCUAAAUGUUGCAUCUUUGAGGGUGAUGUGGUCAUUUGACGGACUAAUUCGGGAAAAACAUGUGUUAGAAGUAAGGUGUGUUUGAAAAAAGAAAAGAAAAGAAAUGAGUCAAAAGGGGUUUCUUUUAGUAUUCUUUAUGGCUUUAGUUUUUCACAAUUCAAAAAUUCAAAAAGAUUUUUUUACCUUUCGCACUCAUUUUCUCAAAAAACAAAAUUUCAAAAAGAUUUUCCCUUUAUCUCCCUUAGCACGCAUUCAUAAUUCACAAAUUCCAAAAAAAGAUUUUCUUUAGAAGUGUCAAAAAUGGUAGUAGUUGUGACCAUUUCAUAAAAAAAAAAAUGCCAAAAAGAUUUUUCUUUCAUAGUUGUUAGUGUCAGUCUUACGUGAAUUGUCUAAAUGAAAACUCGAAAAGAUUUUAUUUACAUUGUUCAUCGUCUGUCUUUGGUCGUGUCUCUUAAGUCAGGUUCAGUUUAUUAUUUAAUCCUCAAUUGUCCAAUCUGGAUGAACAGCACCCCUGAUUUUCCUCUUUCGGGAGUGAGAUACGUAGGCAGCCUAUUAUAGGUUCAGAGACCUUAUUUAAAAAAAGAAAUCCAAAAAAAAAAAAAUUUCUUCACUCUUUAGUUAGAAUAGGUGUUUCAUACAUGUCUUAAAAAGAAAAAUACAAAAAAAAAAUCUCAUUGAUAGCCGUAGGUUUUAUUUUUGGUUGAUCUUACUUUAAAAAAUUCAAAAAGAUUUUUCUUCACUCUUCAUUUAGAGUAGGUGUCACAUAUAUCUUAAAAGAAAACCACAAAAAGAUUUUCUUUUAAUAGGUUCGAGUUUUAUUUUUGCAUAAAAUUCAAAUCUGAAAACCCAAAAAGAUUUUUUUGGUAAUCAUAGAAUUUCACUUCGUAGAGGGGUGUUUAAACCUGAAAAAUAUAAAAAGAUUUUCGUCAAUUCUUGUGACAAAUUGUUAUUUUCUUUUCUUCCUAAAGUUUCAAGAAAAAGAAAAAGAGAAAGAGUUUAAUUUGGCCAUUUUUGGCAAAACUUCAUGAACUACGCACAUCUGAUUCUCCUCUUUCGGGGGUGAGAUACGUAGGCACCCUUUUCGGGUUAGGUGACCUUUUCAAAAUGAAAAAAAAAAAGAAGUUUUCGAAAAAGUGUUGAAUUCUAACACAUUGGUUAUCUCUUGUUCAGUUAGCUUAAGGUGGUUGGUUUGUGGUACUUUGGCUGGCCCUCCAUAUUGCACCAAGUCCAAGAGAAAGUUAUGGCUAACAAAGAUACCGAGUUAGUUGUCACUAAUCAGAUAGGGAGUUCGGGAAAUGAGAAUUUAGGAGCUAAUGAAGAGAUUCAAAAAUUAAGACCGCAAAUAAUAGAAAUGCAUCGAGCUUGGGCUAAUGGGUUGCCGCCUCCUCCAGUUCCCACUGAUAAUCUGGAAUGUCUUUCUAGCUUGCUUCCUGUGUCACAUACACAAUUUCCUAUUUUUGUUGAUAUGCCAUAACAUGCAUCAGGAUCGACUCCAGGGAAACAAUAUCUAACCACUUUCGAUGUUCAUUUCCUCACUCCCCAAUCCAAGACUACCACAUACUCGGCUUCACCUAAUGUUCAUAAUUUUGCGGCGCCGCCACCACCUGAAGCUCCUACUUUUGAUGUUCCUCCACAAGUUGUGCCUUACUACUCCACAAGAGAGCCUGCAUUGAAUAUUACUGGUGAUCAGCGUUACACUCCUGAGUCUACAUUCAAGUUAACUGGUCUUUAUGGUGACACUCACCCACCUGAAUUCCCUUCUAACACUGAGAAGCCUUUUAUGAUAGAAGAACAAGAGGAAAUAAUCAGAAAAUUGAGAAGUUUGGAACUGGCUAUGAAGAAUUCGCAAGGACUUGGGGAUUACAAAAGUGUCUCAUAUAAGGACUUAUGCAUGUUUCCAGGUGUCAAGCUUCCUCCUGGCUUUAAAAUGCCAAAGUUAGAGAAAUAUGACGGACAUGGGGAUCCGGUGUCACAUUUAAGGCGCUAUUGUAACCAAUUAAGGGGCGUUGGAGGGAAGGAAAAACUACUCAUGGCUUAUUUUGGGGAGAGUCUUUCAGGCCUAGCUUCGGAAUGGUUUGUUGACCAAGACAUUAACAAGUGGAUUAGUUGGGAUGACCUAGCUAAUGAAUUUGUGCAACAAUUUCAAUACAAUGUGGAGUUGAUCCCUGACAAAAAAUCCCUAAUUAGUAUAAAAAAAAAGAAUACUGAGAGUUUCAGGGAGUAUGCGAUCAGAUGGCGUGAACAAGCUGCUAGGGUGAAACCGCCAAUGAAUGAAAGUAAGAUAGUGAAGGUAUUUAUUCAAGCGCAGGAUGAAACAUAUUAUCAACACUUGUUACCUGCAUUAGGCAAGUCGUUCAUUAAAGUCCUUAAAAUAGGGGAGAUGAUAGAAGAGGGAAUUAAGACUGGUCGCAUUAUGAGUUUUGCAAUAUUGAAAGCGACUACUCAAGCAAUUCAAAAGAGUUCAGGAAGUGUUGGGGAGAAAAAGAAUGAGGAAGAUUAAUCUGCUAUUGUAGUUGGAUAGCAGGAUAGGUCAAGAAGACCCCGUCGUCGUCACUCUCAGGAUCAAACCCAAGUUCAUGCCCAUGCUCCACAUAAUCACUCCCAAAAUUCAUUAUACUCUGCUCCUCCACCCCCGUAUCAAGUUUAUAACGCACAACCAUAUGUUCACCCCCCAUGUUACCCAUAAUGGAACACACCAACUCCUCAGAGUCGUCCUCUAACUCCAUAAAUAUACCAAAGCCCUUCUAAGACUAAUUUUCGAUCCAAGCCAAACGAUGAAAUGAGGCAGAAGUCAAGAAAUAGCUUCACACCAAUUGGAGUCGUAUGCCAGUUUAUUUUAGAGAUUGGUACAAUGGGGCAUGAUCACUCCUCUCCUUGGGUGCACUCUUAAUCGGAGUUCCAAAAAUUUUGAUCUGAAUGUACGAUGUGCGUAUCAUUCUGAUGCUCAGGGUCAUAGUAUUGAAGAUUGUCGACAUCUGAAAAGAGAUAUUAAAAAGAUGAUUCAAGAUGGAUUAAUUAUGGUGCAGAACAUUGACAGUGAGAGAAACUCUAGUCAUGCUGAUAUGCAAACUAGUGGCUAAGAUGUCAGGCUGAGCAAUUGAGAAGUCACCCUUCUCCUUACUAGGGAGAGGUUUGAUAGUUUGUUUUGUUUUAUUUUUUGUUAUCCGAAUUAUUUCAGGGUUGUAGUUCGGGAUCUAUCUUGUUUUGUCCUUUUGUCGUUUAUGUUGAAACCCUUCUAUCUUUUGUUUCAACUAAAUGAAGUGUCCUAUUUUCCUUUGUGUUUUAAAUAUGUUUUAUUUGUUUGUUUUCUUUACAUAGUACAUUUUAUGUUGACUUUAAUGAUAUGACAUGCUAGAAAAAUAUUUCAGUCAGAUCUUAAAAUCCGGUUUAAGCAUGAGUAUUGAAUCAAGGGGUUAAAGUUAGAAAAAAAAGAGUGUCUGAGAAAAUAGUAGAGUGCUGAAACAUUUGGUGACAAGUUCAAGACUUCUUUGAAAAUUAAGGCCAUUUAUUUUGAGAAUCAAAAGAAUAACUUGGUCAUCAAUUGAAAGACAUGUCUCAAUUAGGUCAAACAGUGUCUGGGUGAUCCUAUCAAGAAGAGCAGAAAGAAAAUCAACUCCACGAAAGCAUGAGUCAUUCAAAGUGAGGGAUGCACAACAAAUGUGGAGUUGUACGUUUGAAAAGUAUAGAAAAAGAGGUGACACACAUGCUCGGGGAAAAUUAGUGUUGUAAAACAUGUCAUAAGUGAUGUUGAUCGUGCACUUUCACAUUGCAUGCUAUGUACUAGUAUUUUCAAAGAUUGAUAUCACGAAAGCAUUUUAUUCUGCUAUCCAAACAUUGUGUCAUCCUUUGUUACCCUAUUUGAGCCUUAGUGUUAUUUUCUUUCAUACCCCUCUUUGGGUAUCAAGAUAAAGCUAGCAAAGCUUAAAAGAAAAGUAUCGAGCAAGAGAAUAGAGUCAGAAAGUUUCAAAAAAGAAGAAGAGAAAAAUGUGUCCACAAAGGAAGAAAAGAGUGUCAAGAAAUUGGAGUCAGAAAAAUCACAAAGAAAAAAGAGUACAAAAAAAAAGAACAAGUCAGAAUCAAGCAAAAAAGAAUAAGCUGUCAGAACUACGCAUGACCUGAUUCUCCUCUCUCGAGGGUGAGAUACAUAGGCUGCCUUACUCAGGGCUCGGUCCAACCAAAUAACAAUUUAGAAUUUCCAGUCAAAAGAAACUGGGGCAUGAGUUAAUCCUCAUUGUUUGAGUCGAUUUCAAAAGUUAUAAGUCCCACCUCACUACAAGUGUCGUUUUGGGCAUCAUGUCAUCCUUUCUUUCUAACCUUGUCCAAAAGUCAAGUUACAACCAAAGAAAGACCUUCAGAUCAAUCUUUGAGAAUGUUAAGGCUAAGCAUGCAAAGGAUAUGAUGAUGCAUUUGGGAAUUACUUGUCUUCCUCAGCAUAAGAAAUGAAGAGAGAAAUAAAAAGGAGAGAGUCUUAUUGGUGAAAAUCCUCACGGGCACCAUAAGGCGAUGCUAAGUUGAGAGAAAUAAAAAUGAGAGAGUCUUAUUGGUGAAAACCCUCAUGAACACCGUAAAAUGACUGUGAGUUAAUGGAAAUGAAGAUAAGAGAGUCUCAUUAGUGGAAAACCCUUACAGACACCAUAAGGUAAUGGUGAGCUGAGGAAAAGAAAAUGAGAGAAGCUUGUUGGCGAAAAUCCUUCAAGGCUCCACUAGCCGAAUGGGGUCUUAAAUGCAGUUGACCUAAGGAAGCAACUCAGUUUCAAGGCCAUUAACUCAACAACAAUAGGUAGAAAAUUUGGACGAAAAGAUCAAGCUGCUUAAUUCAAAAUGCAUGGUAUAAUCAUUAGUGUUGAGUGUCAUUUUUAGAUGAAUUUUUUGUUUCUUUGUUUCAAAAGGGAACAUUUAUUGUCUUUUCUUUCUUCUCUUUAUUUUUAUUUUAUCUUUCUUGAGUCAGUUAUCCAAACAAAAAUUUUAAUUCUUUUUUUCGUUUCUUGUCUUUGAGUCAAGUCCGUGUCAAAACAAGUGAGAAAAGAUUUAAAAAAUGGCUACCAGCUUUUUUAAUUGCACAAAGCAAGACAAAAGAUAGAACAUGAAAGAGACAUGAUUAUGAGCAAAAAAAUGGCAUGCAGAAAGUUUUGUCAAACAGAGAAGUCAGGAAACUCAUGGAAAUAUCAAGGUUCAAAGGAUCUAUUUGAGAAGCAUGGCAAAGUAGAGAUACUGUGUUUGUUUUAGUCACUCUUAAUAAUCUAAGCUCGGGUCAAUGAUUCAGCAAGUCAAUGAUAUAUGCUAAUGGUUAGAAGCAAGGUUAAAUGUGAGGAGGGCAAGAGUGAUCGUCGCGAAAGCUAAAACCACAAACCGGCUACCAUGUUUUAAACUCACAAGUUUUCUUUGAUGAAACAGGAAACAUAUUACCUUCAAAGCAGGGACUUCAGAGCAUAAACAUCAAUGGUUGCAAUGCUUCACUUUUACAAAUGCAAAAAACAAUAUUACUGCACAGGUUUGAUAUAAAAUCAUGGUAAAAAUUCAUCAUCCUAUAUCCCUCGAAGAAACACUUUCUUGUCUAGGAAUUUCAGUUUUCAUUUGCUAGGUGAUACACUUCUUAAAUUGAACCUUCACUCCUAGAAGACGUAUCUUUUAGUCGAGUCAUUCCCAUUGAUUCCUAUAAGACGUACCUUUUAGUCGAGUCAUAUCCCUUUGAUUCCUAUAAGAUGUACCUUUUAGUCGAGUUAUCCCAUUGAUUCCUAUAAGACGUACCUUUUAGUCGAAGUCAUUCCUAUUGAUUUCUAUAAGACGUACCUUUUAGUUGAGUCAUUCCCAUUGAUUCCUAUAAGACUUACCUUUUAGUCGAGUCAUCCCCUUUGAUUCCUAUAAGACGUACCUUUUAGUCGAGUCAUCCCCUUUGAUUCCUAUAAGAUGUACCUUUUAGUUGAGUCAUUCCCAUUGAUUCCUAUAAGACGUACCUUUUAGUCGAGUCAUCCCCUUUGAUUCCUAUAAGAUGUACCUUUUAGUUGAGUCAUUCCCAUUGAUUCCUAUAAGACGUACCUUUUAGUCGAAUCAUCUCUCUUUGAUUCCUAUAAGACGUACCUUUUAAUCGAGUUAUUCUCCUUAAUUCCUAUAAUAAUGUGACUUUCACAAAAGCCCUUUGAUGAUAAACUGGGGCAAAAUUUAAUUCUUAUGUUUGGAACUUCACUUUUCAAAAAAUGAAAUCCUUCUUUAUCAUAAUAUUUGUUCAGGACCCUUAUGAAAAAUGAAAUUUUACUUUAUGUUCAGGACCCUCCUGAAAAAUAGGAUUCCACUUUCUGUUUAGGACCUUCCUGAAAAAUGGGAAUUUACUUUCUGUUCAGGACCCUCAUGAAAAAUGGGAUUUUACUUUAUGUUCAGGACCCUCUUGAAAAAUGGGAUUUCACUUUAUGUUCAGGACCCUCCUGAAAAAUGAGAUUUCACUUUAUGUCCAGGACCUUCCUGAAAAAUGGGAUUUUACUUUCUGUUCAGGACCCUCCUGAAAAAUGGGAUUUUACUUUCAAUUCAGGACCCUCCUAAAAAAUGGGACUUUACUUUCUGUUCAGGACCCUCCUGAAAAAUGAUAUUUUACUUUCUGUUCUGGACCCUCUUGAAAAAUGGGAUUUUACUUUUUGGAAAAUGAAUUCUUUCUUUAUCAUAAAAUUUGUUUAGAUAUUUUCGUUCUAGUUUUGAUUUUGAUUUCAGAAGCCCGCCUGAAGAACCAGGGUGAUGAAAUUGCAAGUCAGGAGUCCGCCUGAAGAACAGGGUGAGGAAGAUGAAAGCCAAGCAACAAGGUAAAGAAAUUAAAAGUCGAAAAAUAGCAAGUCAGGAGCCCGCCCAAAGCAUAGGGUGAAUAAAUGAAAAGUCAAUCAACAAGGUGAAGAAGCUAAAAGUUAAACAACAAGGUGAAGAAAUUGAAAGUCAACAAAUGGAAAAAUAACAAGUCAGGAGCCCACCUGAAGAACAGGGUGAUGAAAUGGGAAAUUGAAGAAACUGCAAGUCAGGAACCCGCAUGAAGAAUAGGGUGAUGAAAUUGAAGUACAAAAAAUGGCAAGUCAGAAGCCCACCUGAAGAGCAAGGCGAAUAAAUGAAAGUCGAGCAAUGAAGUGAAGCAAUGGAAAACCAAGCAACAAGUUGAAGAAAUUGCAAGUCAGGGGCCCGCCUGAAAAAUAGUGUGAUGAAGUAGCGAGUCAAGCGUCAAGGAAAGCUGCAUAGAUAGGAAUUUUGUAAUUUCAUUUAUAUUUUAACUUGUAAUUUUCAUUUUAAGGUAAUGACAGAGCCGCGGACCGGAACCUCGAUGGAACCUCAUUCGACUCUCCAACUUGAUUUAGUCCAUCUCCGUCCAAUCCUUUGAGAUAUCGAUCACUUGAUUCCCUCAUAACUUGGGUGGGUAGAAUGUCCAUCAAGACUAGGUUGCCCUUCUUCCUUCUGUUUCCUUCCUCGAAUAAUGAUCAGGAAAAAAUUCUGUUUCGUUGUCUACUUAUUUGAAUGAAAACACUUGGUGUUUACAUUCAAAGGAGGCAUGAUGAAGACACGUAAUUUUAUCCCGUUAAUAAUAUUUCUUACUCCAAUAUCACAUAAUUUAACCCCUUUUUUAUAAUUUUUUCCCAAGAAAAUAAAUAACCACCUCAUCUUUUAAUUAUUUAUGUAUUUAUUUUUUUGUUUUGUUUUAUUCAAAUAACAAGUCAUAACAAACUUUGUCUCAUUCUAAUAUUCCAACAAUCCACCCAAUAAAAAAUGGACACCUAACCCCUAGUCCUCCCAUUAAAAAAAAAAUCAACACCACCACCCCUAACCUCACCUACCCUACCCUACCCAUCACGUGACCCCUCCCCCUACCUACUUUCUUUACACGUUUAUUCCAAUUCUAUAUAUACAAAGGAGCAAAGGAAAAGCAAAGAAUGGAAACGCGGAGCCCACAUAAUUAUUCCAUUAGUUUUCCUUCUUGGAUUGUCAAUACAUACACCUAUAUGCAUAUGAAAAAUGAACCUGGACAGAAGGACAAAAAACAAGGGGGGCCCAUUAGGAACUUUCCAGGAAAUACUCCAUUCACACAGUACACAGAUAUCAUAUGUAUACACCAUUGUUUCUUUUCCUUCGGGGGAGACCUGGAGACACCAUCCUCUUCACUCAAAAUAUCGGCACACACAUACGCCCAAUCGCACACACACACACGCAAUCCUCGCCCUUCACAGCUCACUCAAAAUCGCACACUAAUCCGCACAUACCCAAAAAAAUGAAGCCGAUUGAGAGAGAGGGUGACGAAUAGAGAGAAAUAUAGUUAUUUUGGUUUCGGGUUUGUUGCCGGAUUUCGACAUUUUCCGUUAGCUUAUUCCCUUCACAGCUCACCGGAGCUUAGAUUUGGACUGAUUUUGAGCUCUCAGUUAGACUUCGGAGAUGUUAGUUCUCGUUUGCUCGUCAUUCGUCUUCCGAUAUCGUGCAUUUGAAGGUUUUUCAUACCGGGCCGGUCUGUUUUUCUGUUGCUAUUUUGUUGUGGUUUCAUCGGUCUUCGCUACUGAUUUGAAGAUUAGAAUCUCGUUCAUCUCGAAUCGUUAAUCGCGAUCAGUUUUUUGGUCUUCAAUCUUCGAUACCGAAUCUGGGAUUAUCGCAUUUUGGAUUAUUUCUCGACUGAUUUGGAGAGUCGAGAUUUCGUUGGUAUUCUUCGAGGUUCUUGAAUGGGCUCUUAUUUCUCUUAUUAAAUCAAUCGAAAGCUCCCGAGGUCCAAUUCUAACUUUUCUCUUUUUGAUUUUCUCGUAAUUACGAAUGAUUUGUAUGCUUAAAUGUUUGAAUCCUUGUUUGGGUAUGUGUUCAAUAUUGAUUUCGGAUUUGAAGAAAUAACUUGAUUGUCAAAUUAGUUGUUUGGGGUCUAGAUUGAAAAUUAAUAAUCGAAUAAGUCGAAGGUUGUUUAUUUUGAUUCAUUAUUGAAUAUUGUUGAAUUGGAUAGCAUCAUGAUUAGGCCAUCUAAUGAAUAGGUUAAAGUAAGUUCGGGUAGGCAAAUAUUUAGGAAUAAGUGUUUGCUCGUUGAAUUAUUGAAUGCUUGAAAUGCGUGUUGAAUGGUUUGGUUUUAUUGCUUUUGGAUUGAAUGUAUCAUUUAGCCGGGGAAUGCCCCGAGACACAUUGUAUUUAUUCACCGGGGAAUGCCUCGACGUACUAUGUUGGCGGAAGACGUUCGUGAUGAAGGCCCGAGGCAUCGGGUAACUUGGGAGCGUAGUUAGGAUUAGUAUAGGUUAGAUAGGAUUUAUUUUUCGCAUUUUAUUUAUUUUGGGUAUGUAUAAUCGGACUGAACACUAUACUUUGAUUCAUUUUGUUUGUUUGCUUUACGUGCUUCCUUGUGAUUUGUACAUUCGUAGUGUCAAAAUUAGCCGAUACGCUCCACCAAGCGACCGUGGUCAAACCACGGGAUCGAGAGGUGUCUAACACCUUCCCCUCGGUCAACAAAAUUCCUUAGUCGGAAUCUCUGUUCGCGGAUCAGUUCUAUAGAGUCAAAAUCGUUUUGAAAAGGGAUAUCCAUGGGUGACUUGGCACACCCGAUUUAUGCCAAGUGACGACUUUGAGUUUAGAAUAUAAAAGGUCCUUUUCGAAAUAAAUUUUCAUCUUUUGUCACUUUGAUAAUAAAACUCUUUUGAACAUAAAAUGAAUCUUUUCCAGAGUUGAAAAAAAAAAGUGUGACAGACAUGUACAAGCAAGCUGCGGAUGAAUUAAUAUCAGGGGUAAACCCUAUCACACCCCUUUUUUCAACUCCCAAAAAAAAAUUCAUUUAAGGUUUGAAAGAGUUUUUAUUAUUAGGUGACAAAAGAUGAACAUUUGUUUCGAAAAUGGAUUAUUUACAUUUCUGUUCUGAGUCACCACUUGACAUAACCCGGUGUGCCAAGUCACCUUUGGAAAAUCUUUUUCAAAACGAUUUGACUCUUCAAACUGGUUUGCGAACAGAGAUUUCGGCUAAGAAAUUCUAUUGACCGAGGAAAAGGUGUUAGGCACCCCUCGAUCCCGUGGUUCGACCACGGUCGCUUGGUGGAGCAUAACGGCUAAUUUGACACUACAAAAUGUAUAAAACACACGAAAAAAGCAAAUAAACAAAUCAAACAAAAUUCAAAAUCAAAAUAAUAUCCAUUCCGAAUUAUACAAUCCCAAGGAUAGAAGAAUACAAAAAUAUAAAUCCUAUACUAGACUAAUCCUAAACUAUGCCUCGGGCCUUCAUCAAAACGUCUUCCGCCAACAUAAUACAUCGGGGCAUUCCCUGGUGAAUAAAUACAAUGUGUCUCGGGGCAUUUCCCGGCUCCAAAUGCGAGAAAGACAAACCAUUUCUCAAACAUUCAACGCAUUCAAUCAACACACCACUCCUAAAUUUUGCCUACCCGAACCUAAACAUUUUGCCUAUCCAAUGCGAACUAUCAUGAUACUAUAGAAUUCACAAACUUGAUUCCGAAUUAAGCAAAAUAACAACGAACCAACAUUAAACCAAAUUUACCCUUUUUAUCAAUCUCGCAAUUCCACCCUAAAUUCUCUUCUCAACACUAAAUUUCCACAAUUCACGAUUUCUAUUUCAACAAUCCACAAUCACUUUUCAAUGAAAAUUAAGCAACGAGUUAAUAUCAAAGUAGCAAUUCAUAACCAAUCAAGAUCAAACAACACACGAGAUUCCAUCCAAUGCACCAUAUUCCAUCAAUAAUGAAAUAAAAAGAGGAAAGGAGUAGAAAUGGACCUCAAUGAUGAUUUUAUUUCGAAUAUCAGUCAAUCGAGAAGACGACUCUGUGUGAUGAAGAACCUCGAGUCUGCCUCAAAAAAUACCACAACUCGACUACGAACCAACUCCAAUACGACAAUCUUCAAAACCCGAUCCCAAAACAAAACCCACGAAGGCCAGUGAGCCACUUAUCCACUGAGGUGACUUAGCCUAGUAGGGAGAGGGGUGACUUCUCAAUUACUCAGCCUGACAACUUAGCCACUGGUUUGUAUAUCAACAUGACUAGAGCUUCCCUCACUGUCAAUGUUCUGCACCAUAAUUGAUUCAUCUAGAAUCAUCUUUUCAAUUUCUCUUUUCAAAUCUCAACAAUCUUCAAUACUAUGACCCUGAGCAUCAUAAUGAUACGCACAUCGUACAUUAGGAUCAAAAUUUCUUGAACGCUAAUUAAGAGUGCACCCAAGGAGAGGAGUGAUCAUACCCUAUUGUACUAAUCUCUGAAAUAAACUUCCAUACGACUCUUCAAUUGGUAUGAAGCUAUCUCUCGACUUCUUCCUUAUUUCAUCAUUUGGCUUGGAUAAAUUAGGCUUAGGAGGGUUUUGGUAUGUUUACGGAGUUAGAGAAUGACUCUGAGGAGUUGGUGUGUUCCACUGUGGGUAAUAUGGGGGUUGAACAUGUGGUUAUGCGUUAUAUACUGGAUAUAGAGGUGGAGGAGUAGAGUAUAAUAGAUUUUGGGAAUGAUUAUGUGGAGUUUGGACAUGAACUUGGGUUUGAGCCUGAGAGUGACGACAAUGGGGUCUUCUUGACCGUGCCCGCUGUCCGACUACAAUAGAGGAUGGAACUUCCUUAUUCUUUGUCUCCCCAAUACUUCCUGAACCCUUUUGAAUUGCUUGAGUUGUCGCUUUCAAUGUUGCAAAACUCACAAUGCGACCCGUCUUAAUUCCCUCUUCUAUAAUCUCCCCCAUUUUAAGGACAUCAAUAAAUGACUUGCCCAAUGCAGGUAACAAGUGUUGAUAAUAUGUUCCAUUCUACGCUUGAAUAAACUCCUCUACUAUUUUUCUUUCUUUCAUUGGCGGUUUUACUCUAGCAGCUUGUUCACACCAUCUGAUCGCAUAUUUCCUGAAACUCUCAGUAUUCUUCUUUUUUAUACUAUUUAGGGAUUUUUCGUCAGGAAUCAACUCCACAUUGUAUUAAAAUUGUUGCACAAAUUCAUUAUCUAGGUCAUCCAAACUAAACCACUUGUCAAUGUCUUGGUCAACAAACCAUUCCAAAGCUAGUCCUGAAAGAUUCUCCCCGAAAUAAGCCAUGAGUAGUUCUUCCUUCCCCCAGCACCCCUUAGUUGGUAGCAAUAACGUAUCAAGUGUGCAAUAGGAUCACCAUGUCCAUCAUACUUCUCAAACUUCGGCAUGUUAAAGCCAAAAGGAAGAUGAACCCAAGAAAACAUGCACAGAUCAACAAACAUUCAACGCAUUUAAUCAACACACCACUCCUAAAUUUUGCCUACCCGAACCGAAACAUUUUGCCUAUCCAAUGCGACCUACCAUGAUACUAUAGAAUUCACAAACUUGAUUCCGAAUUAAGUAAAACAACAACAAACCAACAUUAAACCAUAUUUACCCUUUUUAUCAAUCUCGCAAUUCCACCCCAAAUUCUCUUCUCAACACUAAAUUUUCACAAUUCACAAUUUCUAUUUAAACAAUUCACAAUCACUUAUCAACGAAAAUUAAGAAACAAGUCAAUAUCAAAGUAGCAAUUCAUCACCAAUCAAGAUCAAACAACACACGAGAUUCCAUCCAAUGCACCAUAUUCCAUCAAUAAUGAAAUAAAAAGAGGAAAGAAGUAGAAAUGAACCUCAAUGAUGAUUUUAUUUCAAAUAUCAAUCAAUCGAGAAGACGACUCCGUGUGACGAAGAACCCCAAAUCAGCCUCGAAGAAUACCACAACUCGACUACGAACCAACUCCAACACGACAAUCUUCAAAACCCGAUCCCAAAAAAAAACCCACAAAGGCCAGUGAGCAAAUCUCAGCUUGGUAUCGAGAAAACUGUGACCUAAGACAGAGCACGAUGAACCCACCGAGAUAAACAAAACCCAAAUCCAAAUACAACACCAGCGUUAAAUUGUUUAGAAUCGAUUUAAAAAAGAAAUGUUGAUGGUGCUAUUACUGUUCACUUCUUUCCGAUGGUAUCGCCUGAAACAAAAAGAAACGACAAGGUAUGUUGGGUUUUCGGCACAGGGCAAGUUAACUCGAACGGGCCGGGAAAACUUGAGAAUCCCUUUCUCUCUGGUUUUCUCACUCUCUGACCAGUUCUCUCUGUCAAUCUCCUCGUUUUCUCAAUUUCUCUCUCAAUCGAUCUCUCCCACUCCUAUCUUUAUUCUCUCCGGUCACCUCACUCCUCGAUUUCCCUAUAUCAGUGUAUGUGUCCCCAGAUAUCGUGAGGUUGGUGAGUGUAUCCGUGAGCCAGAAGAAAUGAAAGAUAAUGUUGGUGUUUUCCUUUUUUCGUGAGUGGAAGAAUGAAGUGUCUUGUUGUGAUGGUAUAAGGUGGAGAAGAUGAUGUUUAUGGUGUCCCCUUAGUGGUGGGGCCCGUAUGUGUGUAUAUAUCCCUCAUGGUGUGAGAGAUUUUUCUUUUUCUCCAAGCUAACACCGUGUAAAAUAAUAUAAAAGGAGGAGGUAUGGUCACGUGGGAGAGGGUAGGGGUGGUGAUGAUAAGAUUUGUUAGGAUAAAGUUUUUUACGAUAAGGUUAGGGAUUUAAUUUGUUAGAGAUUUUGUUAAGGGUUGUUAUUUUUUGUAUUUUUGUGGGAUAUAAUCAUACGGAUGAGGGUAUAUAAUAACAAGAGGUAAAAAAUGGAUAAAUUGAGUUUUGGGAGGGACAAAAUUUGGCGUCUACAAAUCCCAAAUGAUCCAUGUUUGUUUCAUCAGCCAAAGCCAACUUAGUUAGAAGAAACCGUGAGGGUCAUCAUAUUUGCUUUAAUAGUUCAUUCGUAGAGGAUGAACAUCUAUCGUUGUAAAGAUAAUUCUAUUUGAUUUUCAUAGUUCAUUCGAUGGAGGAUGAACAUGUCUGUUGCCGUAAAGGCCAGCAUAUUUAUUUUCAUAGCUAGUUCAUCCGGUGUAGGAUGUGUGUCUGUCGCAGGAGUGAAAACUAUGGACUUUGGUUGAUUUGAUUUUCUAUAGCAAAAAUCUUAGUUUUGGCAGAUGUUUAUGAGUUUUCUCUAUGGUUAUGUUUGGUAUGGAUGAAAAUGUUUUCUAUUUUUUUUCAUGUUUUGUUUCAAAAUACUAAUUGUCUCUAUGAAUAUAGGUUCCUUGAAAUAUUUUUUUAAUUUGGGCAUAAAACAAGUUCGAUAAAUUACAUUUUAAGUUCAAUAUCUUCUCCCAUCCCGAACGACCCCAACCCUAUGACAGCCCGUACACUCAUCAAUGCCGGCCAAUGGUAAAGCCAUUAAAAGUAAUAUCUUGAGGCCCCAUAGUUUUAAGACCUAUUUUUUUAAAAUUAAUAAUAAAGUAAUUUUCAUGGUAAUAUUCCUUAAAACUAAAAAUUUUACGGUUUAAAAAGGAACAUUCUCUUUAUCAAAGAGGAAAAGAGAAUUUGUUUAGCCAAUCUGAUUACAUUUUUUAACAUUCUUUUCUGGUUCUCACAUAUUGCCACAGAUAUAUUGAAAUGAUAAAAUUUUAUUCUAUCAUCGAGUUAUAAAUUUCAAGAAUAAAAUUCUAUAAUUCAAACUCUACAACCUAAUAUUUUUUAUAAUUUUAUCUUGAAAUUAUGAUUAUUUUUAAAAUUUAAGACCUCUUUAUAAUGUUUGUAUCAAAGUGACUAAUAUUUCAAUCUUGUUGCAAAAUUCAUCUUUAAUUUGAGUUGGUAUGUUAUUAAACUAUGGCAUAGUGAAAUUUUUUUAAAAAAUUCAACAAGUUUAUUAAAGAUUUGAGAAAACACAACUAUAGAACUCAACUUUUGAUAUUUGCUUUUUCUAUUUGUUUUUUCAUAUUUUUAUUGGUUUGCAUGAAUAAGUCAUUCAUGUCUUUGUUGUUCCAUUAACUAGGAGAUAAUUCGUUAUUACUUGUUUCUUUAUGUCAAAGACCAGAAGAUGCUAGCAUAGUUUUUUCACUCUUUUCUUAUGAGGCAUGUACUACAACUUUAACCUCACAGGCCUGGGCUGGACUUGCCUCCCUUUCAUAAGGAGUCGUACGAGGCGAAAACUCUACAUACGAUUCUAAGGUUUAGCCUUUCUAGAAAUAAAAUGAUCAGAUUAUUAUGGAUACCUAUAGAGAUUAAUGUAUAAGAUCGAAAUCUACAAACUGAUGCAUUAGACUCACCUUUUACUUGAAUACAUACGGGGAAAAUAACAUUUCACAUGAAGAGAGACAAAUAAAAUUUCAUGAAUUUUGAUCUCCCAAUUUAUCUAGUACCCAUUCUAUGUUUUGUUUUUCAUGAAUACUUGACUUUUAGGUAAAAGUUCAUGCUUUAUUUUUUCUUUUUUUGCUUUUACUUUUUCAGUCACCAUACAUAACUAAAACUUUGGCUUAUUUUAAUAUGAUGAUUGAUAUUUGUUCUUUAUGAUAGAUGAAAUUUUAUAUUUUCAAAUUUUAGCUUUUCUGGAGUGAAUUUGAGUGUUAAAAUUUGAAGAAUAGAAUAAUUAUUUUUUGCCAAUCCAAAUUUUUAAAAGUAAUUUAGAUAGGGCCAUGGCCCAACAUUAUCAAAAUUGUCAAUCUCAGCAUUGUCCCGUUCGGGGAGCAACAGUAUUAGAACAGUGAUCCAUUUUAUUACAUAUAAAUUAGUAUGUGUUGUAUGUGUACAUUUUAUAACUGCUAGGCUACUUUAUCAGUCAUAUACAUGAUUGUCUUGUGUAUUUAUAUAUUCAGACCAGAUCAAUACAUAUGCGUCUUAUGCAUAUACCAAUAGAUUAUUUUAUUUAUCAGCUAUAUAAGUAGGAAAUUUAUGAAUGUUUGAAAUUGUUGUGCAUAUUUAAAUAUGAUGUGAAUUUAUUUUUUUCAAGAACUGCAUAUAAAUAAGCUAAUUUAAUUAUGUCGGUAUGUUAUUUCACAGCAUAUAUAUAUAUAUAUAUAUAUAUAU